GAUCCGGUAGUUCAGUUGGUUAGAAUACUUGCCUGUCACGCAAGUGGUCGCGGGUUCGAGUCCCGUCCGGAUCGC
rnacentral:tRNA from 2 species